rnacentral:lncRNA from 10 species
CAGUUGGACUGUCUCUGGAAGGUUGCGGGCGAACCAGAAAUGUAGUGACCUCCAGGAAGGAAAAUUGCUACUACUCUUUUCCACAUAUCCUUUGAUCACUUUUAAAUUGUGUUCCAUUUGCAAGUACUACCUACUCAAAUGGAAAGAAUAAAACAUGGUUACCUGGGAAGGAAGAUAAAAAGAGAGUCCUUUUCCAUAUUAGUGCUAAGCACUUCGUACAGUUCGUCCUUAACUGGACAAGAAUUACGGAAUCUCUAUAGGAUGAUGUCAGGAGCUGUGCUGGAUUCUGGAGACUCAGCGUCUACAAAACAGCAUCCCUUGCCUCACAGCGAUCCCAGUUGGGAGAGCAAUUCAGACAGACAGCAAGGCAAUGAACACGCAGUGUCAGAAGCGUGAUGAUGAGAAGUGCAGACACCAGGGAAUUGCAAAGGAGGCUCCUCUGCCCAGACCUGGGGAGAAAAGACCUUUCUGGACCCAGUGAUAUCCAAGCUGAGACCAGGAGUUAGUCGGAGGGGAAGAGAGCUCCAGGCACAGGGAACAGCACAACAUACGCAAAGACUGCAGGAGCCGUAUAAAACUUGACUGCUUCCUUGGAACUGCAAGCAGUCAACAUGUCUGGAGUAUUGAGUUUGGAGAGGGUGUGUGGAAGAAUGAAGCCACAGAGGACGAAGUCUGACUCUGUAGCCCAGGCUGGCGUGCAGUGGCGUUAUCUCGGCUCACAACAACCUCUGCCUCCCGGGUUCAAGCGAUUCUCCUGCCUCAGCCUCCAGAGCAGCUGGGAUUAUAGGUCCGGGACUGUUAAGGGGUACCAGCCAAGAUGUCCAACUCCUCACCAGCAUAUUCUGCCAGACCAGGGCACCCUGCUCUGAUCAUGCUGAGACAUGGGACCCAAGUCCAACACGUUUGGUCAAUGCAUGAUUUCAAAGAAUUGUAACAUCAGCAGCAGAGAAACUGGAGACCCAAAGAAUGGAUUCAAAUGCUUGUUGCCUGAAUCUGCUCUUCUCACAAGUCCCUCAAUAUUGUACCUGAAUAUAAUACCUUCUCCUGCAUCAAGAGAGGACAUUAGGUGGGUCCCAGCUGCCUCUUCAGGGAUUUAACAGGCUAACCAGGAGCUCUCACUUGUCUUUCUACCUGCAAACUACAGAAUGGGUGCAGAUCUUUCCAGGAAGCUUAUAAAAGCUCACAGGGUGAGGCGAAAGUUGGCUUAGUCUCAGAGAUUCAUUGUUGUUGGGAACGUAGAGCCCUGAGCGCUUUAAGUCCUGAAAAUCUUCUAGUUUCUGAUCUUUAGCUCAACUUUUAACUGUUUUCCUCCUGAUUUUUGUUUGGCUUUCUGAUUUGAUUCUCUGGUUUGACAUAUGUGUCUGUCUUAAUUAGGUUUUCCAGCAGGUCAUGGCCCUGUCCCGGGCCCAUGUAAACCAUCAAAGGCUUGCCUCAGUCAUCCCUAUACCAGCUUCUCACCUUGCCCAGUCUUAGGGCCUGGGAUCUAAGAGCCCUCUGGAAGAUCUACCCUUUUUCUACAUCUGAAAACUCACUAUUAGAGAGUUAAAGUCUUCGAAACAUUCCAUGUUUCCCAAGGGUCCACAUGGCAAUUUUGUGAUAUAUUUAUAGGUAGCAAGUGGAACAAAGGGGUUUGUAGCCAAAUAAAUUUGGAGAAUGUUAUGUGAGGUUAGUUUCUUGUCUACAACAAGGCUUAAUAUGCUUUGAACAGGUUAAACAUCCAUACAAUGAACUUAGUCAGCUCACAAUCCAGUACCCAAAACCCUUGGAACCAGAUAUAUUUGGAUUUCAGAAUAUUUCAGGUUUUAAUAAGGUAAAUGGUGAAUAUGCUAUUUAUUCCACUAUUUAUUCCAUUGCACCCAGAAGAGCUGGCAGGCCCUGUAAUCAAGCACAUACUUCUGCAGCAAAACAUAUGCAUCUUCAUACUAAGUAGGCUAAGUAAAAAAUCUGAAAAGCCACAACAUCAUUUUAGGUCAGGUUUUACCCCUAAGUCUUGUUUUGUUUUUUGAGACGGAGUCUUGCUCUGUUGCCCAGGCUGGAGUGCAGUGGUGUGAUCUCGGCUCACUGCAACCUUCACCUCCUGGGUUCAAGCGAUUCUCCUGUUUCAGCCCCCCUAGUGACUGGGAUUAUAGACACACACCACCACACUGGGCUAAUUUUUGUAUUUUUAGUAGACAUGGCAUUUCACUAUGUUGGCCAGGCUGGUCUCAAACUUCUGACCUCAAGUGAUCCAUCCACAUCGGCCUCCCAAAGUACUGGGAUUACAGGCAUGAGCCAUAGCACCCAGCCUGUUAUUUUUUAAAACUUAGUUUUUAGCACUUUUUGGACUUCAACCUGAUGGAUACAGGAUGGGGCCGUGUAGAUGGUGUUCCCAACAUAGAUGAUCUCAGAACUCCCUCUUCCAGGAGCAUCUAGCAGGACAGGUAUUUCAUGGACUCCAAGGAUACCCUCAGCUGUUAGUCUAUAACACAGGAGAGUGAACACAGUCGGUCAUUCUCACUUUAGCCUUAUCCUCUCCCACACCAACUAGAUGAGGUGAGGAUUCUGACAGCCAAACAAGGAGGAGAAGCUGGAGAGCCUGUGCAUGUGUGCAGAUGUGGUUGGGGAGUCAUGGUUCAGCUGUCAGCUUCUGGUGGAAAAGGGAUACCAAAAAGAGCGGCAUAGUGGACAUCCAGGUUAUGGUGGUUUUCUUCUGUGUACACUUCUGUGUUUUUCACAUUUCCUUUAGAAAUGACGAGCUUUUUCUCCCUUAUUGCUGUUUUCUACUGCAGGGAGUUGCUGCUCUUAGUGUUGCAGUGUGGGGAGGUAGGAUGGGGCUGACGCAGAGCCUGAGGGCAAGGCAGGGUUCCUGGGAAGAUGGAUUCCUGUGAUUCUGGCCUUGUGCCUCAGCCAGAGCUGAGGUGGGGUGGGGUGUAUGCCUAAGGCCAGGGUCCCCUGGGGAAGGAGGAGGAUGUUGGAUUUCUGGUGGAUUUCCAGGAAGACUUCCUGCUCUGACAAAAACAACACAAACACAGGAAGAGGCUCUGGGGCCUAAGGAGAGGGGAUAAUGGACCAAGGUGGAGACUUUUGGGGUGGAGGCUGAUACAGAGAGCAGCCCAGGAACAGAGAAGCUGCCUCCUCGCUGUCCAACUGUGUUCCCCAAGCCAGCUGAGAGUCUUUCUCUACUGUGGUGGCAAGUUGGGAACUGGAGGAAGAGGCCCAGUAACUUUGGACUCCCUGGCUUCUUCUCCACUUUUCAUUGAGUAUAAUAUUUCUUGGUGGCCUGGACCAUGAGGAUGGGGGUGGAGAGUAGGCAGUGGACUGCGGGGGGGCAUUUGGCUAAGGCCUCAGAUUAUGUAGGGCCUCAGAUACAGACCUUAAAUGUGUGGGGUCACACACCUGUCAGAGCUACAUUCAGCCUCACUGUGCGGGAUCAGGUGAAGACAUGCAUCCUAAACUUGCUACCAUUACCAGCCCUAUGGUGUGCUGUAAACUCAUUAUCUUCAUAUGGCUUGUGAAUUGCUCUGUUAUGUUGCAUUAUAUAUGUAUAUAUACACAUAUGUGUGUAUGGGACUCUGUGUGUGUGUUUGUUGUAAACCAAAAAUAAAAAUCUAAGGCUACCCCCACCAUCUGAAGAGACUCCCUCCUCUUGGCCAGGCCACUCCAAAGUUAACCUGAACAACUGUUUUCAGGCCAUGAGGGGAAGUGGGGGUUGGACCUGCCUCAUAAUGCCCUCCUGCCUUUUGGAAUUCAGGAAAAGCUGACCAGCAUUAACAACAACAUAGACCUUAAGUCUGAUAAAUAACCUUUACAAUCUAUUCUCUCCUGAAGCCUGCUAUCUGGAGGCUUCAUUUGCAUGAUAAAACUUUGGUCUCCAUAACCUCUUAUCAUAACCUAGAUAUUUCAUUCUAGUGAUAACUCUUUUAACCAUUGCCAAUGAGAAUUUUGUUUGUUUGUUUGAGAUGGAGUCUUGAGUGCAGGCUGGAAUGCAGUGGUGCAAUCUUGGCUCACUGCAACCUCCGCCUCCCAGCUUCAAAUGAUUCUCCUGCCUCAGCCUCCUGAGUAGCUAGGAUUACAGGUGCCUGCCACUACGCCCGGCUAAUUUUUGUAUUUUUUAGUAGAGACAGGGUUUUGCCAUGUUGGCCAGGCUGGUCUCAAACUCCUGACCUCAGAUGAUCUGCCCACCUCAGCCUACCGAAGUGCUGGGAUUACAGGCAUGAGCCACUGCACCCGGCCUAGAAAAUUUUUUAAUCUACCUAUAAUCUUGAAGGCUCUGUACCCCAUUCCCCAUUUUGAGUUGUCCCCCCUUUCUGGAUCUAACCAAUGUACAUCUUAAAUGUGUUGACUGAUGUCUCAUGCCUCCCUAAAAUGUAUAAAACCAAGCUGUGCCCCUACCACCUUGGGCACAUGUUCUCAGGGUCUCCUGAGGGCUGUAUCACAAGCUAUGGUCACCCAUAUUUGGCUCAGAA